UACGUAGGUCCCGAGCGUUGUCCGGAUUUAUUGGGCGUAAAGCGAGCGCAGGUGGUUUAUUAAGUCUGGUGUAAAAGGCAGUGGCUCAACCAUUGUAUGCAUUGGAAACUGGUAGACUUGAGUGCAGGAGAGGAGAGUGGAAUUCCAUGUGUAGCGGUGAAAUGCGUAGAUAUAUGGAGGAACACCGGUGGCGAAAGCGGCUCUAUGGCCUGUAGCUGACACUGAGGCUCGAAAGCGUGGGGAGCAAACAGG
rnacentral:rRNA from 1 species